GAAGGAUACUACAUGAACUUCUAUUUGCAGUGUUUUUGUGGUUUCACUGACCAGCAGCCUGCAGCCUCAGGACAGUUCCUCUCGUGGACUCUUGAGGCUGAAUCCAAAAGCAAACCAAUCUUCAUAGACUCCCAUGCUAUAUUGCUAAAUUUACAGCAUGGUGCAGUUUUUGCUGCUGGCACUUUAUUGCAAUGUAUUCACACUUCAAAUUAAGAAAUGUCAUCAGGGACAGUAGCUCUUUGGCUAAAAUCAUUUUACAAUUUUACAAAUCUCAUGAGUCAAGCUUGCUAGUUUCAGCUUAAGGUUUAGCACGCCACCAUCACCAGUUCUAGUCUGCUCUGGCUCAGAAGAAACAGAAUGGAGGUAUUCAAAACAGUCCACCUUUUAUAUACAGUUAAUGAUAUUCAUAGGUCACUCCAUUCUUUGCAACAUAAGUGCUUUAACACAUACAACUGAGGGAAAAUCACAAAGUCCAAGUGCAAACCACACUUAGAUGCUUCCAUCAACCAAGAGAUCCAAAUCCAGAACAUUUGUUGCUGUGAGGAAACGGUACUAAGUACUGAAUCACACUUUCCAAAAGGUUAGGUAACAGGUAUAUGAUUUCAGUUCAUUAUAUAAUUAUACCCAAAUGUCUAUUUUUCAGGUUAAUAGUGAACAUUUUGACUUGAUCACAUGAAAAGAUUCACUUUUUCAAGGGGUAUAGUUCUAGGCUAGGGAUAAAAAAAAAAAAUCACUAACUACAUCCAAAACAUAUUACCGUAUAUCCCUUUUACACAAGGAUGUACAAACACAAAUUUCUCCCUGAAGCAAAGCUUUCAUUUUAAAGUUAAAAUGUAAUAUUAGUCAAUUACAUCAAACCCAGUUUUAAAAUUGGGACAAAAAGGGAAUAGUCAGUGUGACAAAUGUUCAACAAGUAAUGCCUUUCUUCCUCUCUCCAAAUGAAGCAGCGCUCCAGCUUUUCACUAUUCUUGUAAGAAUAAAACACACCAUUCUGCUUGCCAGCCGCUUGAUAAUUUAUUCCUUAUAUAGGGGUAAAAAGCUGAUUCAGCGCAUUGUCUUCAGCCACUACAGCUGUAUCUAAGGCCCGGCUGCAUGUAAUCUCUCUUCUGUGACAAGACGGAUGACUCGUCAGGCUUUGUGCUGAAAAUCCUCCAUCCUUGUAGAGUCUUUUAUUUCAGGAGUGCACGCAGGCACCUGCAGACCUGUGUCCUAGAUUGUGAACUGGUCUACGUUGGAGGGCAGAGGGUACAACGUGAUAGUAAACUCUAUGUCGUCAUUAGCUUUCAACAAUCAAAUCCUCUAACGGAGUUGG
ensembl:lncRNA